GAUGAACGCUGGCGGCGUGCCUAAUACAUGCAAGUCGAACGAGGUGCUUGAGUAGCAAUACAAGAGUAUCCUAGUGGCGAACGGGUGAGUAACGCGUGGGUGACCUGCCCCGAAGUGUGGGAUAACAGUCCGAAAGGAUUGCUAAUACCUCAUGUGGUUAUCGGAUUUAGAAACUGAUAACUAAAGCAGCAAUGCGCUUUGGGAGGGACCUGCGUCCCAUCAGCUAGUUGGUGAGGUAAUGGCUCACCAAGGCUACGACGGGUAGGGGACCUGAGAGGGUGGCCCCCCANAAUGGAACUGAAACACGGUCCAUACACCUACGGGUGGCAGCAGUAGGGAAUAUUGCACAAUGGGCGAAAGCCUGAUGCAGCAACGCCGCGUGUGCGAUGAAGGCCUUGGGUCGUAAAGCACUUUUCUGAGAGAUGAGAAAGGACAGUAUCUCAGGAAUAAGUCUCGGCUAACUACGUGCCAGCAGUCCGCGGU
rnacentral:rRNA from 1 species